rnacentral:lncRNA from 1 species
CGAUCAUACAAUCCGCUAUCGAUUUCAGAUCUGACAUCGCCAUGAAAGAAACUUCUUCUACUUCAGAGAUGGAUUCUUCGGCGGCGCCGAUUUCAUGGUCCGGUGAAGCAUCGUAAUCGUAAUCCGACAAGCUUGAUUGCGUGGAUGUCCGUGAUGAUCGAGUGGAAACCGAUUCAGGAUCCAAAUGAGCCCGGUUCAUCGAUAAAAUCUGGUAAAACUCCUUUUGAAGCCUCUUCAUCGCGAUUUGCAUCAAACUUUGAGCUCGAAUGAGGUUUUUUGAACCGGAAUCUUGACCGGAAACGAAAUGCAUGAUUUUUCGCAAGUCGUUGACGGAUCUGAUGAAGUGCAUGGCUUCUCUUUUGCUUUCGUAGAACAUAGAUGUCACCUUAGCAUACGACGAAGUUUCCCCGUCCCAUUUCGCGACGAUGAUAGCGGCAGUGUCAAUGAUUUGCUCGAUCAUGGAUUCAGAGAAUCCACUAGCCGGCGAGGUUAUCGAAGAUGAUGGUGACAUCGACCCUUGAAACAACGGCGUUUCAGGGCUGAAACAAAGACUCCUCAUUCCUUUCCGCGGCAUUUUUUACGGUGGUAAGGUUUUUUAAAAUCCUUUUUUUGGCGGCAGAUGGAAUUUUCGAGCUUAAGUUUUCCUCCUGUCUGCGUGGGUUUUUAUAGACAUUCUAAGCAACAGCACCGUUUCAAUGGUUUUGACUUUUUGAGUAAGACCAACUUGCCUUUAAUUUGUUACAUGUGUCCCCCUAAUUACCUGACUUCCCCCAUUAAAUGAGAAAACCAUCCAAUGAAAUAAUAAUCAUUCCAUAAAAUAUACAUUUUAAAAUUAGUAAAGAAAAAUUUUCAAUUUUUUUUUUUUUGGAUAUCCGUUAAAGUUAUAUUUAUAUAUAUAUUUAUAAUUAAUGAAUUAUCUAUUUUUGGGUUUUGAUAAAAAUAUUUUAUUUUACAAAAAAAAUAGAAUUUUAACUUAAUAAUAAAUGUCUAUAUAUUUGUUAAUUAUAUUCUAGAUUAAAUUCAUUUUAAUCAAAUUUUAACAAAUUAUUAAAAUAAGAUUUAUUUACACAUAAUAUUUCAUUAUAAUCUUUUUAUUACAUAAUGUCUUGAACUACUUAUUGUUUCUCUUAACCCAUAAAUAGGAGAAUAAUGCGUUUCAAUGCACUCAAACUCACAUCCUCAUGCAUUGAUAAUAAUAUCCAUGUCAAUCGAGCUAAUACUCGAUAGAAAUAUUAACUAUUUUUUAAAAUAUGAUUUGAGAAAGAAUUUGUGGUUGAAAUAAAAAAACAAGUUGCCCAAUUGUUCUAAUGUUAGAAAAAAAUAUAAUUUGUUUUACAUUAAUUUCUUUUUGACUGUAAAUUUUAAAUGAAAAUAAAAAUAAAUGUGGAAGAUCAAGUUGAGGGAAGGGAAGCUAAGCUCUAUCUACUUUAAGACAUUAUUAAUUAAGGCCUCUAAAUAAAAGUACGACAGCGUAUACAAAUAUCUUGAAUUUCAAAUUUUAUCUAAUUACAUAAUUAAGGGAAUAAUAUAAAAAAUUUAAUGUUAUAUAUAUAUAUAUAUUUAUUUAUUUCUACUCCUACCUUUCUUAUAUGGUUAUCAUCCCUCCUAUAUCCGUAAUUUUUAAAUUUAUAUCUAAAUAAAAUAAUAUUGGGUAAAUUACACUAUUAGUCACCUAAUUAUUAAUAAAUUUUAUUUUUUGUUAUCUAAUUAUGAGAAGUUACAAAAUGAUUACUAAACUAUUCGAUUUUACCUCUCUCUCUUUUUACCGGCCCUUAAAUGACUAAUGGGAAGGUGAUGUGGUAGCUUAUUCAAAAAUUUUGAUUAUUUAUCUCUAUUAAUGUUGGAAUAUUUUCAAAUAUUUAUAGUAUCCCAAUAACUAUAAAUGAAUGGGUGUAAUUAAUCAAAAGAUAAAACUUUUGGUCAUUGGUCAAAAGUUAUAUCAUUUGAUUUUUUUAAAAAAGAAUUAUAACUAUUCAAAAAAUAUUAUUUGAAUAGUUACAAAAUUAAAUGAAUAAUUAUUAUUAUUUAUUUAUUCAUAAAUACACCUAUUGAAAGAUGUCUCUAUGAAGAGACAUGAAAAUUCCUAUAAAUAGGAAUGGGAUUUCAUUUGGAAAUCAUAUCAACAAAUUCUAAUAUUAUUUCUUCUCUUCCUUCAUUUUCUAAUAUUAUUAGAUUAUUCUAUAAAGUAUUGCUGCAGAAAUCCUUUGUAGAAAUUGAGUUUUUGUUAUACAUUACUCAGUGCACAGUGGACUAUUCUCGUCAGUGCAAAACGCAAAUAGUCAUUGGCUUCAUUGUAUCCUCGAGGUUAAUUUGCUUGGAACUCGUUUGCACACUGAAGAUAAGUGGGGGCGAAUAUAACCUUAAAGAUAGUGGCUUGAUACAUGCCUUGGAGCCUGUCCUAUUUCUUCUUUUUCUUUUCGAGUUCCGAUCGUGUGUUCGAGUUUUUUCCUUACCGGAGUUUUGUACUAACAAUUAAUAUUGAGUAUCUAAUAUAUAUAUAUUGGUGAGGGGAUGCUAACUCUUUCGAAAAAGUAUUUGAGGUAUUAUUUAUUGGGAAAUAAUGGAUCUCUCAACAUGCUAAUAUUGUUCUUAGUCGAAGUUUUGUCUCAUAACUCUAGGAAAAUCUUGAGUACUUGAGGUAAUGGGUUUAAUAGAGCGGGACUGCCUGAUUAGAUUGGACUGUACGUGGCAUACAACUGCCUACCAAAAGACAACAAUACUAACUCGUUGAGGAACCCUUUGAAUAUCGACGAAUGUCACUUCAAAACAUUCUUUAAAGAAUCAAUCCACAUAAAUAUCUAAAUAAAUACAAUAAAAAACAAUAUCAUAAAGCAACAUUGAAUUAGAAACUUAGUUUGCAAUAAGACUUAAACCAAAAUUAACCUAAUUUCACAUAUGACUUUAUUAGAAACUUUUAAUAGACUAUUCAAGUUUAAACUUGAUGUCAAGCACAUCAAUAAUCGAGGAUUCGAUUCUCGUUUUGGGUAUGGAACAAUUUUAAAAUUCAUGAUCAACGUUUAUUCCCUUAACGGGCUUACAAAGUGCAAAAGAUUAGUCAUCGGACUCACUUCAAUAAACACUUUUAACAAAUCAUUAACAGUAAGUGAUUUAAAACAUUAUGGUCAGAUGGUUAUAAUAUUAAUUAUUACUUAUUUCAACUCUUUGGUUGUGUUAAUGAAAUUGAUGUCGAAAUAAUUCGAAGGUUUAAAUUUGAGUUUUAGUGUCUGACUUUAGUUCGAGUUAUGGUACAUCGAUUCAGAUUACUAACCGAAUGAAUUUAUUGCAUUUUCAACUUAUUUUAGGGACCUUAAAUUUAAAUGGCAUGUUGAAUAGUUAGCAAGUUGGCAAAUUGAGAGUAGUCAAAGUUAUAAGCAGUGGUACUAAUUAAAUUGACCAUAGCUUAAGUUAAUAAGUUUUAAAUAUCAUAUUGAAUUAUCACUUUUCUUUAUCCAAAAGCUUUAACCCCUAAUUUCACUAAACCAAAAAAAAAGUGGUCUUAUAUUCGUUUAAUUGCACUCUAAUGACAAACCUCUUAAAUGUUCGGCCAAAGCUUACCAAAAUUUUAGAUUUGGUCAAAAACAUGUUUUUUUUUUCUUAAAACAAAAAAGGAAGGUAAAUUAUGAUUAAUGCAAAUUUAUAGCAUAAUGGAUGGUAUUCGGUCGGUCUUAGAUCGAGUAGAGGUGAAACGGAAUCGAGUGAAUUUUAUUCAAAAAAUUAUUUUUAAUUUAAUCUUUAAAAUUUUUGAUAAAAGAACAAUUCGUCUUACUUCAAAACAUAAUAUUUAAAAAAAAAAUUGACACUUACAAAUCAAAACCCUUCAAAUUUAAGUUUGAGUUCGAGUUCCAGUUAACAUUUUUGUCCUCACUUGGUGUGGGGUUGACAAUUAGGUUUGGUUGAGGACCAACGUAGUGUAAAAGGUCCAACAUGUUGGGCUUAAUUUGUGGACAACAUAUAUAUUACAUUAAUACACAUACAAAAUGCAAGUGAAAAAAAAAAUAGAUGGUCCUAUGUCUUUAUUUCUUAAUUGCAUUCUAGAGAAAAUUGGUCAAAAAUUGAAAUUUGUUAUUAUAUUUUAAGGUAAUUUCUUCCGUUAGUCCCUCUCAAAUUAGGUUAUUCUUAUUUUGAUCAUUUCAAUCUUUUUUUUUUGGUUAAUUUGGUUAUAGUCGUUAAAUUGACCAAUUUAUUCAUUCCAUAGUUAAACCCACUAUUUUACCUAUCAUUUAAUGGUUAAAUUAAAGGUUUCUAUAAUGGAAGGACAUGAUAUAUAUUACAUUGAUGGUUUCAUAAUGUAAUUAGAACUUUUUGAAAUUUGAGGACCAAUUUAAAAUGAGGGUCAUAGUUUAGUGAUGUCUGGUACAAUUAACUCAUAUAUAUAAAAGAGAUGAGACAAAUGACAAAUUUUUAACUCUGUUUGUGGAGUUAAAAAACAUCGUUAUCUAGUAUACCAAAUGCUAGCCAUUUAUUUCAAAAGAAAAUUAUUAUUUAUUAUAUUGUUUAUUUUUUAAUCCAAAAUUAUUUAUUUGUUUAUUUUAUUCAUCAGCAUUACUCAAUGACGUAUGCAAUUACACAUUCAUGAACAUGCUUACAAAUAUGUUCGUUUAAUGUUCACGAAUAAGUUCAUUUAGUUUAAUUUCAACUAAUACGAAUACAUAUAAUUUUAAAUAAAUACGAACACAAAUUUUAAAAUUUUAAUGGAUACAAAUUCAACACAAAUAAAUUUAAAAAUAAACAUGAAUAGAGGAUUAGAGGCAAUGGGGAAGCCAAAAUUGUUAGUAAGAGGGUUCAAGAUAUUUUUAUAAAUAUCUGUUAAAAGGCGGUUGGGCUUAUAAAUUCAAGAUAAUCUUGGUAAUCUUGACUUUGUGUUUAGUGAUCCAUUCCGUACUCAGUAAGGAAUGGAGAUUAGAUUUAUGGAUCCUGGAGAUUACGUAUUGGAGAUUGUUGGCUAAGAAUAGGUACAAAACGGCGACGUCUUUGUAAUACUUGGCUUUGCUAUCGAGUUUGCAGACUAGGACGAGAAUUAGCUGCGAAAUGUGGUCGGAGAUGGGCGCUGCCGAAGAUUCAUUGGAAACAAGACUGUAAAAGGAAAUUUCUGGCAAAGAUGAUUUCGCCGGCGGUGGCCAGUCCGAGAUAAUGUCGGUGAGGAUGUUACCAUAAUCGGCUAAGGCAGUGAGGUAAUUCAUAGAGUAGAUCGUCAGAGGAUGAAUACCGCCGCCAGGAACAAUCGUUUUGGACGAGUCCUUUUGGAUCAUGGACUCAAAAUCUAAUAACAACAACCGUACUGACUCACUGAGUCGAGCCAUCGAGUUAAGAGCUUGGGAUCGACUUGCUGAAAUCGAUUCAAAAGAAAAGAUCGUUUUGAUCUCUGGCCAGUUAUCUGAAAUAGCCGUGUACAUGCCGAGAAGUUGGAAAAUUCUCUCCGGUGACGAUUUUUUCACCUUAGCGACGACUUCGGGGAAUUCAAACAGAAGGACGGCACCUUCUUUUGUAAUCUCCGAAAAGCAAGAUUCUCUAAUGGAAUUCGACGAGGAAAAGACGAAAUCGCAUAGGAUUCUUUCUCCAGUAAAAAGCGUCCUCAUUGAAAUCUUCAUGGCUUCUAACCAGUCCUUGAUUUUCAAAUUCAGUACACCCGACUCCAUUUUAUUGAUCUUCGACAAGCUUACUUUUUCGAUUCCGAGCUUAUAAAUACCUUCAUUGAUAAUCGAUUUCCGAAUCAUAUUAUAAAUUUGAACUCAUUCUUUAGCAUAACCAGAACCGAUCAUACAAUCCGCUAUCGAUUUCAGAUCUGACAUCGCCAUGAAAGAAACUUCUUCUACUUCAGAGAUGGAUUCUUUGGCGGCGCCUAUUUCAUAGUCCGGUGAAGCAUCGUAAUCGUAAUCCGAAAAGCUUGAUUGCGUGGAUGUCCGUGAUGAUCGAGUGGAAACCGAUUCCGGAUCCAAAUGAGCCCGGUUCAUCGAUAAAAUCUGGUAAAACUCCUUUUGAAGCCUCUUCAUCGCGAUUUGCAUCAAACUUUGAGCUCGAAUGAGGUUUUUUGAACCGGAAUCUUGACCGGAAACGAAAUGCAUGAUUUUUCGCAAGUCGUUGACGGAUCUGAUGAAGUGCACGGCUUCUCUUUUGCUUUCGUAGAACAUAGAGGUCACCUUAGCGUACGACGGCGUUUCCCCGUCCCAUUUCGCGACGAUGAUAGCGGCGGUAUCAAUGAUUUGCUCGAUCAUAGAUUCAGAGAAUCCACUAGCCAGCAAGGCUAUCGAAGAUGAUGGUGACAUCGACCCUUGAAACAACGGCGUUUCAGGGUUGAAACAAAGACUCCUCAUUCCUUUCUGCGGCAUUUUUUACGGUGGAAAGGUUUUUUAAAAUCUUUUUUUGGCGGCAGAUGGAAUUUUCGUGCUUAAGUUUUCCUCUUGUCCGCGUGGGUUUUUAUAGACAUUCUAAGCAAUAGCG